rnacentral:rRNA from 1 species
CACGUAGGGGCCAAGCGUUGUCCGGAUUUAUUGGGCGUAAAGAGCUCGUAGGCGGCUCGGUAAGUCGGGUGUGAAACCUCCAGGCUCAACCUGGAGACGCCACCUGAUACUGCUGUGGCUAGAGUCCGGUAGGGGAGCGUGGAAUUCCUGGUGUAGCGGUGAAAUGCGCAGAUAUCAGGAGGAACACCGGUGGUGUAGACGGCUUUCUGGACCGUAACUGACGCUGAGACACGAAAGCGUGGGUAGCAAACAGG